rnacentral:rRNA from 1 species
UACGGAGGGUGCGAGCGUUGUUCGGAAUUACUGGGCGUAAAGCGUGCGCAGGCGGUUCGUUAAGUCAGAUGUGAAAGCCCCGGGCUCAACCUGGGAACUGCAUUUGAAACUGGCGGGCUUGAGUAUGGCAGAGGGGGGUGGAAUUCCGCGUGUAGCAGUGAAAUGCGUAGAUAUGCGGAGGAACACCAGUGGCGAAGGCGGCUCACUGGUCCGGUACUGACGCUGAGGUGCGAAAGCGUGGGGAGCAAACAGG